UGCAUCCAAUAUUUACAUUGAAAUAGGGCAAUUGCUUAGUGCACUUCCCGAAUUGCUUCCCAUAAUUCCUGCGCCUCCCACCGGAAGCAAUAAGGAAAGUGCAUGAAGCAAUUCCAGAAAUGAAAAACACCCUUGAAUUAGAUAAAAGGUCAACACAGGCUCUGCCUGUUGCUUUGAUGAUUCAUGAUAACUCGUCGGAUCGCACGGCCUUUGUGCCGGCGACGCAUCAUUCAAAUUUUUCCCCUAUCAACUUUCGAUGGUAAGAUAGUGGCCUAUCAUGGUGGUGACGGGUGACGGAGAAUUAGGGUUCGAUUUCGGAGAGGGAGCUUGAGAAACGGCUACCACAUCCAAGGAAGGCAGCA
rnacentral:ncRNA from 2 species